rnacentral:rRNA from 1 species
AUGGCGAUAGAACGAGUCGCCUUGGACGCCGAAUCGCAACGGAUUCUAGCAGAAACUUUCCGGUUAAGCCUGGAUCACACUGCAUCAAAUGUUGUUCUUCGCAAGAGGCACCAGAGUCGUUUACCUUUGGAGUACGAUGGAAGAAAUCUUUUCAAUACACCUGGGGCAGGACCAAGUAACCCGCCCGAGAUAACCCAGGAUGUUGAAGCACCUGCGGCAGGAGCGACGGCUCAACCCCAUGUUGCGGAUCCGCCUCGUUUGAAUCUGACCCCGCCUCAGCGAGUGCCAACACCACUGGGUCAUUUUUCUAACCUGCUGGAUAAUAUAAUUGACGCGUCAUCGCGGCUGGCGGCUCUUCAAGUGCAAGGUGAGUCUCCCGCGGCGAUUGAAGCCCGGAAGACUGUGGAGCUUCUUCAGACGGCGGUAGUGAUACGUCUCCAACAUAUCUAUAAUUUUUGA